rnacentral:rRNA from 1 species
UCCUACGGGAGGCAGCAGUGGGGGAUAUUGGACAAUGGGGGGAACCCUGAUCCAGCGACGCCGCGUGAGUGAAGAAGUCUUUCGGUAUGUAAAGCUCUGUCAGCAGGGACGAAAGAAAUGACGGUACCUGACGAAGAAGCCCCGGCUAACUACGUGCCAGCAGCCGCGGUAAUACGUAGGGGGCAAGCGUUAUCCGGAAUUACUGGGUGUAAAGGGAGCGUAGACGGUUAUGUAAGUCUGGAGUGAAAGCCCGGGGCCCAACCCCGGGCCUGCACUGGAAACUAUUGUACUUGAGUACUGGAGAG